GUCUCGCUCUCAGAGACGUGGGAACUGUCCCUCACUGUUUGCUCUGAUGAUUAAUCAGAAAUUAUCCUUUUGGAGACACGUCCACAGGCUGUGAGCUUAGAGAAUAAGAGGGAGGAGAAGAUCCACCUGGCCAUCAGACUACAGGAGGAACCGUGUUUAUUAUUUGUAGAAGUUUCAUUAAUCCGGAAUCAUGCGUCCAGCUGUGCUAACCGCUGUCCUGCUCUCGGUGCUCUUCAUCAACGCCGUGACGUCACUGAACCUCGGCAAUCUGCCGCUGCGUGAAGAGCGAGCUCUCUUCGAUGCGCCACCAGAUGUUGCGGUUCCGGUGGCUCCCGCUCCACUGAACAUGCGGGCUUCCCGAGCUCUCUUCGAUGCGCAGCCAGAAGCUGCGGCUCCCGCUCCAAUGAACAUACGCGGUUAGCCCCGCAGGUCGACCGAGCCGUGGACCCGAACCAGAGAAACCUUGAAAUAAUUGGAGAGAUUUUCAAGUAUAUUUGCAUUGGAAAAAUGUGCAGGACGAAGUGAUCAUCAUCUGCUGAUGUGUUCCUUCUCUCUGUAAAGCUGCUCUGUGUUUCUAUAACCCGCCAACACGAGCUCCAAUAAACGCUUCAGCAUUCAA